UACAGAGGUCCCAAGCGUUGUUCGGAUUCAUUGGGCGUAAAGGGUGCGUAGGCGGCGCGGUAAGUCGGGUGUGAAAUCCCUCGGCUCAACCGAGGAACUGCGUCUGAUACUGGAAGGCUUGAAUCCGGGAGAGGGAUGUGGAAUUCCAGGUGUAGCGGUGAAAUGCGUAGAUAUCUGGAGGAACACCGGUGGCGAAGGCGGCAUCCUGGACCAACACUGACGCUGAGUGAGCGAAAGCCAGGGGAGCAAACGGG
rnacentral:rRNA from 1 species